UGUUGGUUCUCCCGUAACGUUACUCUGUUUACCAGGUCAGGUCCGGAAGGAAGCAGCCAAGGCAGAUGACGCGUGUGCCGGGAUGUAGCUGGCAGGG
rnacentral:SRP_RNA from 1 species